CUGGGCUGGGAGGAGUGCAGAGUAUAUGGAUAUUUUGCCCCCAGAAGAUUGGACGAUGACUGCCUGCAUUGAUGAGACUGCCUAGUUGCAGGAAAACAAGCUCAGGACUCCAACUUAUUCUAUGUUAUGUUGAUUAGGUUUCUCCUCGUAGUGAGAGACAUGGGCACCAGUAACUACCAGAGACACAAAACCUCACAGCUGAACCUCAGGAAUUGCUCCUUGGCCCUCCUUUCUCUCUUAUCAGCGUGUAGCUAGAUGCAUUCUGACAAGGUACAAAAACAAGGCAUCAGCCCAGUCACCUUUCACUGUUCUUUGUCUGCUGCAUCUUUUGGAUAGCUUAUCAGGUCUUGCCUGUAGUACCUUAUGCAGCUAUGUGAGACGGAAUGAUCCUAGAUGACCUCAAUUACAUGUCUGGACCUUCGCUGGAGUGUCUGGACAUUCUUUGUCUGUGCAGUGUCUCUCUCCAUGUGAUUUAUCAUCUUCAAGGAGGCUAAACUGUGCUUAUUUGCAGAAUAAGAGUGUUGGGAUUCUAAAAGGGCAUAUUCUAUUGGUUAAAGAAUGCCAUCCAAGAUUCAAAAGGAAAGGGAAUAGAUUUAUUGGAUAGCAUGGUGACUAUAGUUAAUGACAACAUAUUGUAAUUUUGAAAAAUGUUGAGUAUACCUAUUAAGUGUUCUCACCACAAAAUGAUAAUGAUGUGAAGGGAUGCAUUUGUUAAUUAGCUAGAUUUAACUUAUCCACAGGUAUAUCCAAUUUACAACAUUAUGUUGUUUGUGAUAAAUACAUGCAAUUCUAUAUGUUAAUUUAUAGUAAAUAAAUACAUAAAUAAAUUUGAAAAAAAAGAAAGGGGAAGGAAAUAGAUGUCACCCACUGUGGCAGGGAGGCCAAAAAAAGUGACAAAUCAAUCCACCACAACCUCUUUGAUCAGCACACUUUAUAAAGCAGAAUGACAUCAUACAGUAAAGGACAGAAGAGUGAUUGAGAGUGAACACAUGAAGAUACUGGAGCCUGACAACUAACAAGAGAAUAAUAUUUAAAGCUGUGGAGUGUUGUGGUCAAGACUGCAGAGUUUAGAAUGAAUCUGCCUAGGUGUGAUUCUUGGUUUCUUCAUUUAAUAGUUGUAUAGCUUGUUGGGUCGCUGUGAGGAUUAAAUGAGCUAAUGUAUAAUAUAUGAAGUGCUUGGUCUAGCUCUUGAGGGAUUGUAAGUGCUAACUAAAUGUUAUAAAUCAUUUUUGAGCAUAACUUAUAUUGCAAAUUGCUUAUCACAGAAGUAUUUACAACUUAAAGCUAGGAAUUUAAACUUUAUCAUUUUUGUCUAAUAAAUUAUUGAUUUUAUAUGCUCACUUUAGCUUAUAAAUAUGUUUUUGAUUUCAGAUUGUCAUGCUAUUAGAAAUUCCUCCAAUAUGUCUCUCAUAAUUGAUAAAGUGACAUCCUUAAGGACUUGAUAAAAAUGUCACUCAGUUUUUAUUCAGUUUCCAAAACAGCAAAACACUACCAAUGACUUUUUUUCUUUUGCCUCCUCUUGGAUUAAACAUUGUUUUUUUCUCCUUUUAUUUUUGCUGUGUUGGAAAGCUAUGUACUCUAGGUAUAUUCUUUAAGUAAGUUUUCCUACAAUUUUAACAAGCUUGCUUAUUCUUUUAUAUAUUUCUAACCCAUCCAAGUUACUGAGGUAAACACGUUAUGAAAUUUGUCUAAAUAUUCUCCAACAAUCUGCGAAGUUUUGAUUUUGUAAAAUUUCUACCUUGUUUUAAAACAAAAAUAGCUUAUUUUAUAAUCUUUUCAUACGUGAUGAUUUAUUGACAUGUUUUACUUAUGUUUUUGCUCAUUAUUGUUUUUUUCUCUUCACUUUUUGUGUUUACAUAUCUUGUUGUCCAAGUUUGUCAUUCAAUGUUUGUAGCAAACAUCUGGAGCCGUAAACUAUUGGUGAAACUGUUUCGGUUUUCUUUUCUUUUUUUCUCUUCUCUUUUCUUUCUUUUAUUUUCUUUGUUUUUUCUUUCUUUUUUUUUUUAAACUCAGUAAUGGUAGUUUAGCAAGAUGUAGAAGAAAAGAUGCAUUUAUUUUCUGUCACUAUAGUGACUUAUAGCACCUAUUACUCCUGAUAGGAAGUCUUAUGUCAGAU
rnacentral:lncRNA from 1 species